UUGUUUGCGGAUGUAGCAUCAUCAAGAUUCACAAACUUAAUGGGCUUUGUGGAAUGGUGGUCCCUUCCCUUCCGUUCUCUCGAAAUGCUCUUGGUAUGGGAAUCUUGAUGAUGCUGCAUCGGCAAUAAA
rfam:Nelumbo nucifera unplaced genomic scaffold scaffold00018, whole genome shotgun sequence